rnacentral:rRNA from 1 species
GGAAGCGAGGGGCUAUCGGCGGCGGUAAGACGUGGGGGGCAAGCGUUGUCCGGAAUCACUGGGCGGAAAGCGCGCGCAGGCGGCUAUCGACGUCCGGGGUGAAAGCCCAGAGCUCAACUCUGGGACUGCCUGUGAUACGGGAUAGCUUGAGGAUCGGAGAGGCAAGGGGAAUUCCACGUGUAGCGGUGAAAUGCGUAGAGAUGUGGAGGAACACCUGUGGCGAAGGCGCCUUGCUGGCCGAUUUCUGACGCUGAGGCGCGAAAGCGUGGGGAGCAAACAGGAUUAGAUACCCCAGUAGUC